rnacentral:lncRNA from 1 species
GCAACAAAGCAAACGGUUCCAACUGUUGUACCUGUUACCACACCCUGCAGUCAAACCCUGGUGUGGCUUUCUAUAGUUUCAGAACGCUCUUGUAAGCACUUGUUGGCUUGGCAGCUGAAUCAACAGCCACGUCCUUUCCCACAGACUUUAUUCUAAGGUCAAGCAUGUAUGCUGUUGUAACCUUGCGAGAUUCAGAUGAGGUGAUGGUGGCAGCAUCAAACUGGCUGAACACAGACAAGACACAAUGUCACUGGCCCCCAUUCAGAUCAGCAGAGAAGUACAUGCAAGCUGUGAAAGACAGAACUGAGCCUUCAACAGCAGGAAAACCAUGGGACAUGUUAAACAUUCUCUUACAUGCAGAAUACGACACCUAUCAGGAGGCUACAACGAAAAAAGAGGAACUUGUAAGAGCACAGAAAGAUGGUUUGUAUGCAGUCAUUACCCUGCAAGAAUCAAGUGAGCUGACUGUGAUACCAACAAACUGGCUGAAUGAACACAAGACACAAUGUUACUGGCCUCCAUUCAAGGCACCUAAGACAUGCACAGAAGCUGUAAAGAACAGACUUGAACCUGCUAGAGGAGAAAAUCCAUGGGAGAUGCUGAACAUCAUAUUUCAUGAACAACAUGCCACUUUUGAACAGGCUAAAGAGAGGGAAGAAGCACUCAGACAGCAGACUGAACCACCCUCUACAUCUUUUGGAUGUCUUGAAAGACAAAACUCUCCACUGCGGUCAGGAAUAUCCACUGGUGGCUUUUCCUCCCAAACCACAGUCAUUAGUCAUGGUAUUAAAAGAAAACGUGAAGAGUCUCCAGAUAUCACUGCACGGCCACUGAUGACUACAGAUAUGGAGAUAAGAAACAAAGCAAAGCAGGUCAUUGAAAGAGUUAUGGCCCAAAUUCAGACCACAACAAAUGCAUUAAAACCUGACAUUGUGUAAGUGUUGAAAAUUAUUUUUGGAGAUCUGUAAACACUUCUCUUUUAAGUACUCGUAAAUG